UACAGAGACUGCAAGCGUUAUUCGGAUUCACUGGGCGUAAAGGGUGCGCAGGCGGCCAGGUGUGUUAGGCGUGAAAGCCCGGGGCUUAACCCCGGAAUUGCACCUAAAACUACUUGGCUAGAGCAUUGGAGAGGGUAGCGGAAUUCACGGUGUAGCAGUGAAAUGCGUAGAUAUCGGAAGGAACAUCAGUGGCGAAAGCGACUUCCUGGACCAAUACUGACGCUCAUGUGCGAAAGCGUGGGGAGCAAACAGG
rnacentral:rRNA from 1 species